GCCCUAGUAACGGCGAGUGAAGCGGCAACAGCUCAAAUUUGAAAUCUGGCUUCGGCCCGAGUUGUAAUUUGCAGAGGAAGCUUUAGGCGCGGCACCUUCUGAGUCCCCUGGAACGGGGCGCCAUAGAGGGUGAGAGCCCCGUAUAGUUGGAUGCCUAGCCUGUGUAAAGCUCCUUCGACGAGUCGAGUAGUUUGGGAAUGCUGCUCAAAAUGGGAGGUAAAUUUCUUCUAAAGCUAAAUACCGGCCAGAGACCGAUAGCGCACAAGUAGAGUGAUCGAAAGAUGAAAAGCACUUUGAAAAGAGGGUUAAACAGCACGUGAAAUUGUUGAAAGGGAAGCGCUUGUGACCAGACUUGCGCCAGGCUGAUCAUCCGGUGUUCUCACCGGUGCACUCGGCCCGGCACAGGCCAGCAUCGGUUCUCGCGGGGGGAUAAAGGUCUCGGGAACGUAGCUCCUCCGGGAGUGUUAUAGCCCGGGGCGUAAUGCCCUCGCGGGGACCGAGGUUCGCGCAUCUGCAAGGAUGCUGGCGUAAUGGUCAUCAGCGACCCGUCUUGAAACACGGACCAAGGAGUCAAGGUUUUGCGCGAGUGUUUGGGUGUCAAACCCGCACGCGUAAUGAAAGUGAACGUAGGUGAGAGCUUCGGCGCAUCAUCGACCGAUCCUGAUGUUUUCGGAUGGAUUUGAGUAGGAGCGUUAAGCCUUGGACCCGAAAGAUGGUGAACUAUGCUUGGAUAGGGUGAAGCCAGAGGAAACUCUGGUGGAGGCUCGCAGCGGUUCUGACGUGCAAAUCGAUCGUCAAAUCUGAGCAUGGGGGCGAAAGACUAAUCGAACCAUCUAGUAGCUGGUUACCGCCGAA
rnacentral:rRNA from 1 species